rnacentral:lncRNA from 10 species
AUGAGGUCUGAGAGCAAGGGGAAUCAUGGCUUUGCUUGGAAAGAAAGAAGUCUCUUUUGGGCUAGGAGCAAUCAAUCAUUUGACAAUCAAUUGAUUUAGAGUGUGUUGAGAGCCAGGUGCCUGGAAUAUAAAAAGAGAUGAGUUCAGGGAGCCUGGAGGCAAAACCAAGGUUGGAACAUGUUUCCUGACCAGCACAAGCGGUCCUUACCUGAAGCCCAAGGUGAUUUUUGGCCGCUGGCGACCUUGUGACCGUUGGCAGUGGGUCAGAUGUGGCACUCAGAAUUAGGGGAAGGAUUGGUGAUGCCAGAACAUCUGGUGAAGCCGGCACUUCAAGGCACUCCUCAAGCCUGGAAAGCCUCACCAAUAGGUAUUACAUUUAUGCACUGUCUGCUGCCAAAGAUCUGAAACCAAUGAUCUCAUAUAUAUGGUACAGUUUUCUAGUUAUUUACAGUGGGAGAGUAAAUUAUCCAUGCUCAGAAGUAGUGUGUACUAGUCUCAGUAAGUCAAUGGGUUUCCCUGGAUCCAGGCUUGGAGAAAAUGUUUUCUCUUCUCUAUCUGCAAUUCUCCUGAACCAAUUCUGACGGAUAAUAUGACUGUGUCAACCACAAAAGAGGAAAAGAAUGGGCUUUAAAUCCCGCCUUUACAGCCAUCCAAGGCAGCUCCUUCUUCAAAGGAUGGAACUUUAAGGAUGGAACCAAUUGGCUACAAAUCAUUUUAGCUGAUGCACUGAGACAAUUCUGAAGCAAACUGUCUUAUCCUGGAUUUUGUCAGUAACUGGAGUUGAAGGACUUGAAGAUUCUCAAGGAUUGAUCCAGAAUAUGUUCCAGCAAAAACUACAGCAGAGUAACUUUGACAAGAAAAAUGUUCACUUGCUACCUAAGGAGAGUCUCUGUCUCCUGACCUCUGAAUUUCGAAAUCCUCAGCUCUGGCUGCCACGCAGUGGGAACCGAAUGAGUAUGUACUGAAUGGCGAAUCCUAGUUCAGUCACUUGACUAGCUGGGUGACCUUGAGCAAGUAACUUAGCUUCUUGAAGCCUCAGUCUCCUUAUCUAUAAAAUGGGACUCAAAGGCUGAGUCGAGUAUUAAAUGAAAUAAUACACGUAAAGCACAGUGCCAAAAAUCUGGUAAUAACUCCAUCAGUAUAAGGCCACCUUAUUUGCCUUCUUUCACAAUUAUCACCAGAAUUGAAUUAAAAUUCAGAUGUGAUCAUGUCUUGAAAUGUAGAAAGAGUUAUGAAAAUGUAAGACUUACUAAGUUCACUUAUCGAACAUUUUUUGACCACCUACUAUGUGCUAUGCCUUGGACUAGGCUAGAGAUACAACAGUAAACAUCUUGACUAACGGAGAUUAUGCUGCUAUCUUGAAAUUUUGCCUGUUCCCAAAAGCCCCCAGCAUAUUAAUUUUGUUAAAUAUAUAUUCCCUUAUUAUAUAUAUAAAACAUAUAUAUCCU